rnacentral:rRNA from 1 species
GAUGAACGCUGGCGGCGUGCCUAAUACAUGCAAGUCGAGCGAACAGAUAAGGAGCUUGCUCCUUUGACGUUAGCGGCGGACGGGUGAGUAACACGUGGGUAACCUACCUAUAAGACUGGAAUAACUCCGGGAAACCGGGGCUAAUGCCGGAUAACAUUUAGAACCGCGUGGUUCUAAAGUGAAAGAUGGUUUUGCUAUCACUUAUAGAUGGACCCGCGCCGUAUUAGCUAGUUGGUAAGGUAACGGCUUACCAAGGCAACGAUACGUAGCCGACCUGAGAGGGUGAUAGGCCACACUGGAACUGAGCCACGGUCCAGACUCCUACGGGAGGCAGCAGUAGGGAAUCUUCCGCAAUGGGCGAAAGCCUGACGGAGCAACGCCGCGUGAGUGAUGAAGGUCUUCGGAUCGUAAAACUCUGUUAUUAGGGAAGAACAAAUGUGUAAGUAACUGUGCACGUCUUGACGGUACCUAAUCAGAAAGCCACGGCUAACUACGUG